rnacentral:rRNA from 1 species
GGAAAUCUCACCAGGCCCGGACACUGGAAGGAUUGACAGAUUGAUAGCUCUUUCUUGAUUCGGUGCGUGGUGGUGCAUGGCCGUUCUUAGUUGGUUGAGUGAUUUGUCUGGUUAAUUCCGUUAACGAACGAGACCUUAACCUGCUAAAUAGUGACGCGGUUCAUCGAACCGUGGGCCACUUCUUAGAGGGACUAUCGGAUUCAAACCGAUGGAAGUGUGAGGCAAUAA